rnacentral:rRNA from 1 species
UACGGAGGGAGCUAGCGUUGUUCGGAAUUAUUGGGCGUAAAGAGCUCGUAGGCGGUGUGUCGCGUCGGUCGUGAAAACUUGGGGCUUAACCCUGAGCUUGCGGUCGAUACGGGCAUCACUGGAGUUCGGCAGGGGAGACUGGAAUUCCUGGUGUAGCGGUGAAAUGCGCAGAUAUCGGGAGGAACACCAGUGGCGAAGGCGGCGAUCUGGGAAGAUACUGACGCUGAGGUGCGAAAGCGUGGGGAGCAAACAGG